GUUGACUGCAGUAUGGGGCAAACUUACAAACCCAUACCUGUGCUCUUAGGCUCCUUGUCCAAACAACAAACAAUUCCCCCAGCCAUGAUUCUUUACUCCCACCUUUGCUCCAACUCCAAACAUCCAGUCUCCAGAAUUCACAGACUUUUCAAACCAAGUCCCAGCAAAUACAAAAUGAAAAGGUACAAAACCAAAGCCAAACAACAGCAGAGAAAGAAAAAGAACCAUCUCCUACCUUGCUUCAGGAAGGCCUCCGCAUCCUCUCCAAUGUAUUCCAGAACUCUUUGUGCUCAUAAUGAACCAAGCACCUCCCAAGGAGGUAUGUCAGAUCUCACAAACAGCUGUUCUAGAAGGCACGAUCUGCCUCCCUUCACCCACAGUGGGAAGCUGCAUCUCUGGAGAAUCCAAAGCACUGCUCGACCCAAAUCUCUUCAGUGUUUCAGCAGGCUGAUGUUUGUACCAGGUGCACCUUCAUUAAAUGGCCAACAACCACAAACCCAAGAACAAACAGAAGAAAAGGAACUGAUAUGCAAAAUAUAGGAAAGAGACCACAGGAGAGUGAAGUAAGAAGACAGAGGAAGAGGCAGUAAUCAUUGCCUAAACUAAGAUGCCAAAGAGGACAGCCACCUUUACAGUGAAAAACUGUCCUUGUUAAAAGCUAGGGAUAUUAGUUGUUGGGGGUUGGGGGGGUUCAUUUUGUUUUGCUUUGGUUUUCCUUGUCGCUUAAACUUCAAAAAUUUAAGUUGAAUAGCAAAGAAUACUUUGGAGUUCUGAAGCAGAAAAAAACAAUACAUUUUUGAGUCUCAACUGGCAGAGGGAUGAGUAACUAACUUGAAGCUGCACUGUUCUGCACCACCUAUAAGAAGUCACAUCAGGGCUUACAUUACAGGCUCCAAUUCUUUAUCUCAUCUCUGAGGCACUGAGUAUAGGAAAUCAGUAGUGUGUAUUGCAUUUACUCUUCACUUCAGCUGUAUAACUGACAAGCUUGACACCAGGGCCUGGGAGGCAUAAACACUGCUACAAGGUACUGCCACCACUAGCCAGCACUGACACUACAAAAACACGACAGAUUCUAGGUUUCCUUUAAGUACAAAUAAUCAUCUAGUGAAUAAUCACCACGGUAUUGUGGAAGACAGUGAAGAAAACAUACAAUUUGUGCUAACACUCAGGAGCAACUAAAUACAUAUUCAGUAGUAGCAAUUGGAUGAAUACAAUGGGAAAGGCAUUACAACAAAGGUGUGAUGACAGAAGGACCAGCACAACAGAAAGGUGAUAUAAAGGAAAGGAAGAUUACUCAGCAUAUCAGAAGAUUCCAGGUUUGCAGAGGAAAGCUUUACCAAGGAAGGAUCCCCAGGAAAGGAACCCACCCUUGUGGCAGUCAGCCCUUAAAUGAGGUCUAAGAAAGGUGCAGCCAGGCUACACUCCUGGUCACACCCAUGAAUUGCCUUCACCUGUGCUCCCAGGGCUGACCAGGUCCUUUCCCCAGGUGUUCAAUCAGUGGUUCAAGCCAUGACCCAGCAGUUCCCAUACAUUAGUCCAGUAUCUGCGUCAUUUGUCAAACUGCUCUAACUAUUCUGAUAACAUAAUGCACAUUCUCAAUGUUUCAUGAAGCAUUUUACCUCGCAAGGUGCCAAAGGCUGCAGCACUAUGCAUGUGAAGUACCCACUUUGUAUAUUGCUUGUCUAGAAGUUACCCAUGAAUCUCAUGCAAGGGACAGAGUAAUGCCAUCUGACAAAUGAGGAUAAAUAAUAUGAAGGUAAACGUAGGCCGCAACGUCCAAAUCAUAUCAUAUCUUGGCACAUCACAAAAUGGCCUGGGUUGAAAAGGACCACAGUGACCAUCCAGUUCCAACCCCCUGCCAUGUGCAGGGCAGCAGACCAGGCUGCCCAGAGCCACAUCCAGCCUGGCCUUGAAUGCCUGCAGGGAUGGGGCAUCCACAGCCUCCUUGGGCAGCAUGUUCCAGUGAGUCACCACCCUCUGGGUGAAAAACUUCCUCCUAGUACCUACCUAAACCUCCACUGUCUCCGUUUAAAAGCAUUCAAAUUGCUGUUUGUGCUUGAAAUGAUGUAAACAAAGAGAUUACCACUUUGGUCAAACAGGUCAGGAAAGCGGUGAUUUAAAAAAACACGCAUGACCCCCUUAUUAAUAUAUAAAAAAUGAAUAUUUUACUCUACCUUUGAAAAAGUUCACUUGGGCACAUUUCUGCAUUCCUGACUGGCUAAAGCUCUAAAAACAUUUAAAUAUUGGAGCUGCUUUACCCAGAGUUCACCUUGAUACUCAGCAAUGACACGUGUCCCAUGCAGAUUUUUAUAAUCACUCCCCAUAUGAAAGUUGACAGUGGGAAAAAAUUGCUUCUUUUUAUGUAAGAGAUUAUGACUUAGGACUGUAAUAAAGGUGAAAGUGAAGUGGAUUUGGAAGCA
ensembl:lncRNA